rnacentral:lncRNA from 1 species
CGGCGAGCAGCGCGGCUGAGAGCGGCCUCGUCUGCAUGGACGGCGGCUGCCGCGCCGGCUGCUCGCCGGGGACACAGGUUCCCGUGGAGGAAUGAAAGAGAUCAAGGGGAAGAGAGCUGCCAGCUCCCUGGGGCCCUGCACCUGCCAGCUGCCGCUACAUACUCUGAGAAACACUGCUGCCAGCUAGAGGGGAGCACCUGUCCCAGAACCUCAGGACCUGGGACGAGAACCUCUGGGUGACUCCUUGGAACAAUGAAUCGGACCACCUGUGGGUUCCAGCACUCCAGAGCCAGCAGUGCCUUCCUGAACAGCUCCACACCAUUGCUCUUCUUGGGUGUGUCCUACCCCGGCCAGCUGGUGCUGUCGGCUCGCCUCUCAAGCUCGGGGCUUACAUAUGACUUCUCAUGCUCCCACUCCCCCCCACGUCAAGCCCUGUGACUUGAGACCUCAUCUCGGGCGUCAGUGCCAUGGGUACUGGGAAGAUCUACUUCCAAGUCUGCUGCCUCCACUUUGCGCAGAAGGUGGGCAGGAGCUGUCAGAGAGAAACUGUGAGCUUAGCUUUCUUACCCGGAAGGGGCACGGGAAGAAAGACGGAGAGGAAGCGAGGCGUCCGACUGCUGACACGAUUCCCUCUGGGCUUCAUGCCCUGAGAGGCGGUAAUUCUUGGUGGCUCCACCCAGAUGCUGUUUGUCAUCAGUGGGUGUCGGACUGUCCCGGUGACCCACCGUGCUCCCUCCACCCUGUCUUGGCG